UACAGAGGUCCCAAGCGUUGUUCGGAUUCACUGGGCGUAAAGCGCGCGUAGGUGGCCUCAUAAGUCCGCUGUGAAAGUCAAAGGCUCAACCUUUGAAAGCCGGUGGAUACUGUGAGGCUAGAGUACGGAAGAGGCGAGUGGAAUUCCUGGUGUAGCGGUGGAAUGCGCAGAUAUCAGGAGGAACACCAAUAGCGAAGGCAGCUCGCUGGGACGUUACUGACACUGAGGCGCGAAAGCGUGGGGAGCGAACAGG
rnacentral:rRNA from 1 species